UCUCCGUAGGUGAACCUGCGGAGGGAUCAUUACAGAGUUUUUGCCCGCAAGGGUAGAUCUCCCACCCUAUGUUAUUCCUUCUCUGUUGCUUUGGCGGGCCGUCCGGCCUCGGUCAGGCCACCGGCUCCGGCUGGUGCGCGCCCGCCAGAGGACCCCAAACCCUAAAUGUCAGUGUCGUCUGAGUACUAUAUAAUAGCUAAAACUUUCAACAACGGAUCUCUUGGUUCUG
rnacentral:misc_RNA from 1 species